rnacentral:tRNA from 1 species
GCCGAUAUCGCAUAGUGGUAUUGCAAGCGACUGGAACUCGCUGUCCUCUGGACGCCCAGGUUCGAUUCCUGGUAUCGGCG